rnacentral:rRNA from 1 species
AUUGAACGCUGGCGGCAGGCCUAACACAUGCAAGUCGAGCGAGCGGCGGACGGGUGAGUAAUGUCUGGGAAACUGCCUGAUGGAGGGGGAUAACUACUGGAAACGGUAGCUAAUACCGCAUACCAUCAGAUGUGCCCAGAUGGGAUUAGCUAGUAGGUGGGGUAACGGCUCACCUAGGCGACGAUCCCUAGCUGGUCUGAGAGGAUGACCAGCCCAUGUGGAACGGGACAACGGCACAGACUCCUACGGGAGGCAGCAGGGGGGAAUAUGGCACAAUGGGCGCAAGCCUGAUGCAGCCAUGCCGCGUGUGUGAAGAAGGCCUUCGGGUUGUAAAGCACUUUCAGCGGGGAGGCGUUACCCGCAGAAGAAGCACCGGCUAACUCCGUGCAAGCAGCGGCGGUAUUC